rnacentral:rRNA from 1 species
GUAAGUAAGCUUUGAUCCAGAGAUUUCCGAAUGGGGAAACCCAGCAUGAGUUAUGUCAUGUUAUCGAUAUGUGAAUACAUAGCAUAUCAGAAGGCACACCCGGAGAACUGAAACAUCUUAGUACCCGGAGGAAGAGAAAGAAAAUUCGAUUCCCUUAGUAGCGGCGAGCGAAACGGGAAGAGCCCAAACCAACAAGCUUGCUUGUUGGGGUUGUAGGACACUCUAUACGGAGUUACAAAGGACGACAUUAGACGAAUCAUCUGGAAAGAUGAAUCAAAGAAGGUAAUAAUCCUGUAGUCGAAAAUGUUGUCUCUCUUGAGUGGAUCCUGAGUACGACGGAGCACGUGAAAUUCCGUCGGAAUCUGGGAGGACCAUCUCCUAAGGCUAAAUACUCUCUAGUGACCGAUAGUGAACCAGUACCGUGAGGGAAAGGUGAAAAGCACCCCGGAAGGGGAGUGAAAUAGAACCUGAAACCGUGUGCUUACAAGUAGUCAGAGCCCGUUAAUGGGUGAUGGCGUGCCUUUUGUAGAAUGAACCGGCGAGUUACGAUUUGAUGCAAGGUUAAGCAGUAAAUGUGGAGCCGUAGCGAAAGCGAGUCUGAAUAGGGCGUUUAGUAUUUGGUCGUAGACCCGAAACCAGGUGAUCUACCCUUGGUCAGGUUGAAGUUCAGGUAACACUGAAUGGAGGACCGAACCGACUUACGUUGAAAAGUGAGCGGAUGAACUGAGGGUAGCGGAGAAAUUCCAAUCGAACCUGGAGAUAGCUGGUUCUCUCCGAAAUAGCUUUAGGGCUAGCCUCAAGUGAUGAUUAUUGGAGGUAGAGCACUGUUUGGACGAGGGGCCCCUCUCGGGUUACCGAAUUCAGACAAACUCCGAAUGCCAAUUAAUUUAACUUGGGAGUCAGAACAUGGGUGAUAAGGUCCGUGUUCGAAAGGGAAACAGCCCAGACCACCAGCUAAGGUCCCAAAAUAUAUGUUAAGUGGAAAAGGAUGUGGCGUUGCCCAGACAACUAGGAUGUUGGCUUAGAAGCAGCCAUCAUUUAAAGAGUGCGUAAUAGCUCACUAGUCGAGUGACACUGCGCCGAAAAUGUACCGGGGCUAAACAUAUUACCGAAGCUGUGGAUUGUCCUUUGGACAAUGGUAGGAGAGCGUUCUAAGGGCGUUGAAGCAUGAUCGUAAGGACAUGUGGAGCGCUUAGAAGUGAGAAUGCCGGUGUGAGUAGCGAAAGACGGGUGAGAAUCCCGUCCACCGAUUGACUAAGGUUUCCAGAGGAAGGCUCGUCCGCUCUGGGUUAGUCGGGUCCUAAGCUGAGGCCGACAGGCGUAGGCGAUGGAUAACAGGUUGAUAUUCCUGUACCACCUAUA